UACGGGGGGGGCAAGCGUUGUUCGGAAUUACUGGGCGUAAAGGGCUCGUAGGUGGCCAACUAAGUCAUACGUGAAAUCCCUCGGCUUAACCGGGGAACUGCGUCUGAUACUGGAUGGCUUGAGUUUGGGAGAGGGAUGCGGAAUUCCAGGUGUAGCGGUGAAAUGCGUAGAUAUCAGGAGGAACACCGGUGGCGAAGGCGGCAUCCUGGACCAUUACUGACGCUGAGGAGCGAAAGCCAGGGGAGCAAACGGG
rnacentral:rRNA from 1 species